rnacentral:rRNA from 1 species
CCUACGGGUGGCAGCAGUGGGGAAUAUUGCACAAUGGGCGCAAGCCUGAUGCAGCCAUGCCGCGUGUAUGAAGAAGGCCCUAGGGUUGUAAAGUACUUUCAGUCGGGAGGAAGGCGUUGAUGCUAAUAUCAUCAACGAUUGACGUUACCGACAGAAGAAGCACCGGCUAACUCCGUGCCAGCAGCCGCGGUAAUACGGAGGGUGCAAGCGUUAAUCGGAAUUACUGGGCGUAAAGCGCACGCAGGCGGUUGAUUAAGUUAGAUGUGAAAUCCCCGGGCUUAACCUGGGAAUGGCAUCUAAGACUGGUCAGCUAGAGUCUUGUAGAGGGGGGUAGAAUUCCAUGUGUAGCGGUGAAAUGCGUAGAGAUGUGGAGGAAUACCGGUGGCGAAGGCGGCCCCCUGGACAAAGACUGACGCUCAGGUGCGAAAGCGUGGGGAGCA